AAUUCUAGCACUCAAGGCUGAAGCAG
rnacentral:piRNA from 1 species